GCGUUCAUAGCUCAGUUGGAUAGAGCAACAGCCUUCUAAGCUGUGGGUCGCAGGUUCGAAUCCUGCUGGACGCACCA
rnacentral:tRNA from 2 species